rnacentral:lncRNA from 1 species
AUGAGCUUCAUAUAGUGUUGUAAUCCUGGCUGGACUUGGAAUUGUUGCUGCCGCUAUAGGGGUUAAAGAACUUAUCUUUGAACCAAAUGACUUUGUGUCACGAUCGACUCACCGAUUACUCGAUAUGGUCAAGAAAACAGAAAUCGAGCAGCCCGCCAACGGAUUCCCAUUAGAGUUUGGAAAGAUGAUAAUGAUGGUGUUGAGCAUGUUGAGGUUAGUCUUAAUAAUUUCUAACUUCCAUAUAAAUCAUGUUUUAAGGGGCUUGAACCAACAACGAAAUCAUUAGAGCAAAUUUAUAAUAUUUUUUAUUGGCACCUUGUGAAGAAGAUCAGGAAACUUGCCAAUCUUAUUUGAUGAUGUGAAACAAGGAGAGAAAACACAAUCUUACGUUUCAGGAAUGGGGUUAUGGAUCCUCCGUUUAUAAUACCUCUAAGAACAAGUUUUGAAGUUAGCGGUGGUUCAAUGGUUUUAGGGUACAUAAGCAUCAAUUUUAAAAAGAAAUAACCAAUUGUUCAAAUAUGAAAGCGGGUGUGUGAAAAUUGAUUUGUUGGAACAAGUAAAACCAACGUUAUUUACAGGUGCUAGGAAGAGACCGGUUAAGCAUCUGGGAUUAGAAGGGUCGUAUAUUCCACAACCACGUUCUAAGGGUAUGUGAGGGUGGUUCUAUAUAACACGUUUGUAAACCUUAUACAUUUUUAUCAUUGAUUGAUGUUGCAAAACCACACUUUGCUACAUGAUUUUUGUUACUGUUCUCCCUAAUUGUUC